CAGUCGCCGCGGUAAUACGAAGGGUGCAAGCGUUAAUCGGAAUUACUGGGCGUAAAGCGCGCGUAGGUGGUUUGGUAAGAUGGAUGUGAAAUCCCCGGGCUCAACCUGGGAACUGCAUCCAUAACUGCCUGACUAGAGUACGGUAGAGGGUGGUGGAAUUUCCUGUGUAGCGGUGAAAUGCGUAGAUAUAGGAAGGAACACCAGUGGCGAAGGCGACCACCUGGACUGAUACUGACACUGAGGUGCGAAAGCGUGGGGAGCAAACAGGAUUAGAUACCCCUGUAGUCCCUGUCUCUUAUAA
rnacentral:rRNA from 1 species